UACGGAGGAUUCGAGCGUUAUCCGGAUUUAUUGGGUUUAAAGGGUGCGUAGGCGGUCGGAUAAGUUAGAGGUCAAAUGUCGGGGCUUAACCCCGUGCCUGCCUCUGAUACUGUUCGACUAGAGAGCGGAUGCAGCAGGCGGAAUGAGUAGUGUAGCGGUGAAAUGCUUAGAUAUUACUCAGAACACCGAUUGCGCAGGCAGCUUGCUAAUCCGCAUCUGACGCUGAUGCACGAAAGCGUGGGUAGCGAACAGGAUUAGAAACCCGAGUAGUCCUUGACGGAGGGGGAUGUGCCAGC
rnacentral:rRNA from 1 species